rnacentral:lncRNA from 1 species
GGUAGAAGCAACCCAAGCAUCUACCAGACGGCGAGUGGACAACCAAGCAAGCGUCUACCAGCAGAUAAAUGGUUAACAAGCCAAGCAUGUACCAGCGAGUGAGUAGAUUAAAAAAAACGUGGUACAACCAAGGAACCAUGGGACUAAUGACUCGUGGAACAUUAGUUAACUUAAUAAAGAAGGAAGUCCUGGAUUGGAGAGAUGGCUCAGACGGUAAAGCACUUGCCACCAAGCCUAAUAAUGUGAAUUGGAUCCCAGGGACCCACGCGGUAGGAGAGAACCAACUCCAACAAGUUCUUCACAAAUCACGCUGUGGCACAUACAUGUGUGACCACAUAAGAAAUCACUUUUUUGCUGAGAUGAGCAGGGUUCUAAUACAUACAUACAACUUUGUUCAACCUUGAGGAUAUAAUGCUGAGUGAAAUGAGCCUGACAAACAAACAGAACAAAAAGACAAAUGGCUGCAUGGAUCCAUUCGUAUGAGACCUAGAGUAAGC